AAGAGGCUUAUUCAUUUCACUUUUUGUGUGAAAGGGCCUUAAUAUUUGCUAAAAAUAGAACCUUUUUUGUUGUUAUUAAAAAACAAACAAACAAGCCCAGCCCAGGUGAGGAAGAAACGCAAAAUUAAUGUAACAUUACUUUUCAUAAAAAGUAGCUAACUCAAUUAGUUACUUUUUUAGGGAGUAACGCAAUAUUGUAAUGUAUUACUUUUAAAAGUAACAUUGUCAGUUACACUAUGAAAUCAAGUUAGAACAACCACACAAAUACAUAAGAAAUAAAGAAAAAUAUAGAUAAGAACUUAGCAAGUUGUCAGACUGGAAUAUCCUUGGUUUUUGAGGCAUAGUCGGUUCAUUGUCUUGCGUUUCAGCAUCAGACUCUGGUUCGAACAUGUAUGGCUGAACCUCUCUUGGGGCAUUGAAACUUGUUUUAAAUCACAACACUGUUAUCCAACCAUAGCAGUGGGCAUUUACUUUCAAAUCUUCAAUGCGGCACGCACAGAAAAUGGGAGUGUUUCACAAUUGAGUCUCUAAAACAGUGGAAAAUAGCCUAUUACUUAUGAUGUUUUUGUUUGUUUUUUUAAUGUAAAAAAAAAUGUGGCAAACAUCUUAAGUGGAUCUUAGACAAUAGAAUAAAAUAAUAAAAAACGCAGUUCAUGACCCCUAUUUAAUAAUUAAUAAGUAUAAUUCUUUAUAGUGUUUUAGUUGGCAUCAGUAUUGAGUGUUUGUGGUUUCUUCAGCCAAAUGUAGAAGGAUACUGUACAAUGGAAGUACUAGGCAGUUGUUUGGGCUCUUGUUUAAUAAAUAUAUACACACACACUCACUCAGAA